rnacentral:rRNA from 1 species
CCUACGGGUGGCAGCAGUGGGGAAUCUUCCGCAAUGGGCGAAAGCCUGACGGAGCAACGCCGCGUGAGAGAAUGAAGGCCUUCGGGUUGUAAAGAUCUGUUGACAGGGACGAAUAAGCAAUGCGAAUAGUUUUGUGUAUGACGGUACCUGUUUAGAAAGCUACGGCUAACUACGUGCCAGCAGCCGCGGUAAUACGUAGGGAGCAAGCGUUGUCCGGAAUUAAUGGGCGUAAAGGGAGUGUAGGUGGGCGCUUAAGUCAGGUGUGAAAACUCCGGGCUCAACCUGGAGACUGCCCUUGAAACUGGGUGUCUUGAGGGCAGGAGAGGAAAGUGGAAUUCCUGGUGUAGCGGUGAAAUGCGUAGAUAUUUGGAGGAACACCAGUGGCGAAGGCGACUUUCUGGCCUGUACCUGACGCCGAGGCGCGAAAGCGUGGGUAGCGAACGGGAUUAGAUACCCGUGUAGUC